rnacentral:rRNA from 1 species
UACGUAGGGUGCAAGCGUUAAUCGGAAUUACUGGGCGUAAAGCGUGCGCAGGCGGUUUUGUAAGGUUGAUGUGAAAUCCCCGGGCUCAACCUGGGAAUUGCAUUGGAGACUGCAAGGCUAGAAUCUGGCAGAGGGGGGUAGAAUUCCACGUGUAGCAGUGAAAUGCGUAGAGAUGUGGAGGAACACCGAUGGCGAAGGCAGCCCCCUGGGUCAAGAUUGACGCUCAUGCACGAAAGCGUGGGGAGCAAACAGG